rnacentral:rRNA from 1 species
CAGCCGCCGCGGUAAAACCAGCACCUCAAGUGGUCAGGAUGAUUAUUGGGCCUAAAGCAUCCGUAGCCCGUUUUGUAAGUUUUCGGUUAAAUCCAUGCGCUUAACGUAUGGGCUGCCGGGAAUACUGCAUAACUAGGAAGUGGGAGAGGUAGACGGUACUCGGUAGGAAGGGGUAAAAUCCUUUGAUCUAUUGAUGACCACCUGUGGCGAAGGCGGUCUACCAGAACACGUUCGACGGUGAGGGAUGAAAGCUGGGGGAGCAAACCGGAUUAGAUACCCGGGUAGUCCCAGCUGUAAACUAUGCAAACUCAGUGAUGCAUUGGCUUGUGGCCAAUGCAGUGCUGCAGGGAAGCCGUUAAGUUUGCCGCCUGGGAAGUACGUACGCAAGUAUGAAACUUAAAGGAAUUGGCGGGGGAGCACCA